rnacentral:rRNA from 1 species
GAUGAACGCUAGCUACAGGCUUAACACAUGCAAGUCGAACGAGGUUACCUGUUUUGGAGAUUCGUCAAAGAAACUCUUAACCGAGUGGCGGAUGGGUGAGUAACGCGUGGAGAACCUGCCCUCAUCUGGGGGAUAACAACUGGAAACGGUUGACAAUACCGCAUAGACUCUGAUGUUCGCAUGAGCGUAAGAGAAAAGAUUUAUCGGAUGAGGAUGGCUCCGCGUCGGAUUAGCCAGUUGGCGGGGUAACGGCCCACCAAAGCGACGAUCCGUAGCCGGCCUGAGAGGGCGACCGGCCACAUUGGGACUGAGACACGGCCCAGACUCC